rnacentral:rRNA from 1 species
UGGGGAAUAUUGGACAAUGGGCGCAAGCCUGAUCCAGCCAUGCCGCGUGAGUGAUGAAGGCCCUAGGGUUGUAAAGCUCUUUCACCGGUGAAGAUAAUGACGGUAACCGGAGAAGAAGCCCCGGCUAACUUCGUGCCAGCAGCCGCGGUAAUACGAAGGGGGCUAGCGUUGUUCGGAUUUACUGGGCGUAAAGCGCACGUAGGCGGGCUUUUAAGUCAGAGGUGAAAUCCCAGGGCUCAACCCUGGAACUGCCUUUGAUACUGGAAGUCUUGAGUAUGGUAGAGGUGAGUGGAAUUGCGAGUGUAGAGGUGAAAUUCGUAGAUAUUCGCAGGAACACCAGUGGCGAAGGCGGCUCACUGGACCAUUACUGACGCUGAGGUGCGAAAGCGUGGGGAGCAAA